rnacentral:rRNA from 1 species
UACGGGGGGAGCAAGCGUUGUUCGGAUUUACUGGGCGUAAAGGGCGCGUAGGCGGCCACCGCAAGUCGACUGUGAAAUCUCCGGGCUUAACCCGGAAAGGUCAGCCGAUACUGCGGGGCUAGAGUGCAGAAGGGGGCAACUGGAAUUCUCGGUGUAGCGGUGAAAUGCGUAGAUAUCGAGAGGAACACCUGCGGCGAAGGCGGGUUGCUGGGCUGACACUGACGCUGAGGCGCGAAAAGCGUGGGGGAGCAAACAGG